rnacentral:rRNA from 1 species
ACUCAAAGGAAUUGACGGGGACCCGCACAAGCAGAGGAGCAUGUUGUUUAAUUCGAAGCAACGCGAAAAACCUUACCAAGACUUGACAUUGUGAGCAUAUCUAAGAAAUUAGAGAAAUUAUAGCAAUAUAACUCAUAAACAGAUGGUGCAUGGUUGUCGUCAGCUCGUGUCGUGAGAUGUUGGGUUAAGUCCCGCAACGAGCGCAACCCUUGCUGUUAGUUACUAACAUUCAGUUGAGAACUCUAACAGGACUGCCGUAGAUAAUACGGAGGAAGGCGGGGAUGAGGUCAAAUCAUCAUGCCUCUUACGUCUUGGGCUACAAACGUGCUACAAUGAUAACUACAAAGAGAUGCCAACCAGCAAUGGGGAGCCAACCUCAAAAAAGUUAUCUCAGUUCGGAUUGUGGGCUGAAACUCGCCCAUAUGAAGAUGGAUUUGCUAGUAAUCCCGAAUCAGCAUGUCGGGGUGAAUGCGUUCCCGGGUCUUGCACACACCGCCCGU